CGGAACGUAGCUCAGUUGGCCAGAGCCUUAGGGUCGCAGGUUCGAGUCCUGCCGUUCCGA
rnacentral:tRNA from 1 species